UCCUCCUUUUCGGGAAGUAUCGUUUUGCUGAUGCUCUCAGAUUUGCUAUUCAUAAAGGACUUUGAUAUUUUCUUUGUACUUUCUUAAUUUUAAUUGUUUUUCCUUUUGACUGCAGAAUUUAUGUGACCUACUUGCUGAAAAAAUGGGGCAAUUUUAAAAAAUCUUCUAUAUUUUGUUCCUAAUUUUUCUUUGUUGCAUUGUUUACUGUCUCAGAGGAGGAGAAAGAGGGAAAGGCUACCUACCAAUGUGCUCGUAACAAAGAUGUAUAUCCAGUGUUGGUAAUCAGAAGCCUAAUGCAACUUUGAUUCUCAUUUUAUUCAAAAGCUGUCUCUCCAGGCUCCUCGAGGCUGUUUCAAUGUUUUCAUCUGAUAUACUAGAAUUUGAUGAAAAUGCCUGUUGAGUUUUUUUUUUUGAGUUGGGGUCUUGCUCUGUCACUCAGGCUGGAGUGCAGUGGCAUGAUCACAGUUCACUGCAACCUCGACCUCCUGGGCUCAAGCAAUCCUUCUACCUCUGCCUCCCUGUAGCUGGGACUACAGGCUCACACUGGCACAUCUGACUAACAUUUUAUUUUUUGGUAGAGAUGGAGUCUUGCUACAUUGCCCAUCCUGGUUGUGCAUCUUUUUCAUUAAUUGUGCUGAGUACAUAAUGGACCCUUUCAAACUGAAUACCUGUAUUCUUCAAUUCAGAGAAAUUUUAUUUUUAUGUAGUUUCUACAUGAUUUUCUCCUCCCUAGUUUUCAUCUUUGAAUUUCAGUUAUUCUGGGAAUUCAGUUAUGGAUUGAAUACAUGUCUUAUCUUUUCUCUACCAUGAAAAUCCAUGCAUAUUUCUUUUUUCAGUUUCUGGGAAAUUUCCUUCAACGUAUAAAUUCCAGCCUUUUAAAAUUGUAGCCAUUAAAUUCGAAUUUCUGUCUGGGUAUGGUGGCUCACACCUGUAAUCUCAACACUUCGGGAGGCUGAGGUGGGUGCAUCAGUUGAGGUCCGAAGUUCAAUACCAGCCUGGCCAACAUAGUAAAACCCUGUCUCUACUUAAAAAAAAAAUAGCCAGGGGUGGUGGUACAUGCCUGUAAUCUCAGCUACUCAGGAGGCUGAAGUGGGAGAAUUGCUUGAACCUCCAGGAGGUGGAGGUUGCAGUGAGCCAAGAUCUCAAUACUGUACUCCAGCUCCAGCUUGCGGUCAACAUUGAGACUCCUAUGUUAAAAAAAAAAAGAAAAUUCUAGCUCUCUAGUCUGCAGCCUGUGUCUAUGGUCAGGCCCUUUGCGUCCAGCUGCCAGGGACUGAGCUCGGGUGUAUGGGGCCACAGAAACCGGCUCCGUGGCCCCAAUAACGGGCCACCCCCGCAGCACCCCAGCCUGGCGUGAGGGUCUCCCUUGAUAUGAGAAUGGCUACCUCUCGAUAUGAGCAGGUGGCUGAAAUUGAUGUCGGUGCCUAUGGGACAAUGUACAAGACCUGUGAUCGCCACAGUGGCCACUUUGUGGCCCUCAGGAGUGUGAGAGUCCCCAAUGGAGGAGCUGGAGGAGGCCUUCCCAUCAGCACAGUUCGUGAGGUGGCCUUACUGAGGCGACUGGAGGCUUUUGAACAUCCCAACGUUGUCCGGCUGAUGGAUGUCUGUGCCACAUCCUGAACUGACCAAGAGAUCAAGGUAACCCUGGUGUUUGAGCAUGUGAACCAAGAUCUAAGGACAUAUCUGGACAAGGCACCCUCACUUGGCUUGCCAGCCGAGACCGUCAAGGAUCUGAUGCGACAGUUUCUAAGAGGCGUAGAUUUUUUUCAUGCCAAUUGCAUCGGUCACCGAGAUCUGAAGCCAGCGAACAUUCUGGUGACAAGUGGUAGAACAGUCAAGCUGGCUGGCUUUGGCCUGGCCAGAAUCUACAGCUACCAGAUGGCACUUAUACCCAUGGUUGUUACACUCUGGUACCGAGCUCCCGAAGUUCUUCUGCAGUCCACAUAUGCAACACCUGUGGACAUGUGGCUUGUUGGCUGUAUCUUUGCUGAGAGGUUUCGUUGAAAGCCUCUCUUCUGCAGAAACUCUGAAGCUGACCAGUUGGGCAAAAUCUCUGACCUGAUUGGACUGCCUCCAGAGGAUGACUGGCCUCGAGAUGUAUCUCUGCCCCGUGGAGCCUUUCACCCCAGAGGGCCCCACCCAGUGCAGUCAGUGGUACCUAAGAUGGAGGAGUUGGGAGCACAUCUGCUGCUGGAAAUGCUGACUUUUAACCCACACAAGCGAAUCUCUGCCUUUCGAGGUCUGCAGCACUCUUAUCUACAUAAGGAGGAAGGUAAUCUGGAGUGAGCAAUGAAUUGGCUGCCAUGGAAGGAAGAAAAGCUGCUGUUUCUCUUCUGGACACUGAGACGGCACUGCCUUCGUCUCUGAGCCUGUGGAGGCUCCACCUCCACCUUUCUACAGAGAUUACUUUGCUGCCUUAAUGACAUUCCCCUCCUACCUCUCCUUCUGAGGCCUCUCCUUCUGCCCCCUAUUUCUCAACACUAAGGGGUAUGUUCCCUUGUGUCCCUUUCUCUACCUUUAUAUUGGGGGUCUUUUUUAAUACAGGAAAAACAAAAUAAAGAAAAAAAAUUCUAACUUCAAAGAGCUGUUUCUUGUUUUCUGAUUGUAUCAUUUAAUACUAUGCUUAUCUCUGGAAGCCUUUGAUUUAUCCUCUGAGAAUAAUAAUUUUAUUAAAAACUAUUAUUUUCUGGGCAUUAUUUGUUUCCCUUAAGAUCUCUUUCUCUUGUUAUCUGAAAUUUGCUUUCCUCUCUGACGCCUUUCUCUUUUAUCCUUGGAUGUUCUUUCAUAUUUAACCUGUUACUGGGUAGCUUCACUGGGAGUCACUGGGUAGAAGGGCAUUUGUUUUGUUGGGAUAGCUACAUAUCAGUCUGAUACUGUGUCUUAUAGUUUAUGCUAAGUGUUUCUCCACAAGUUUCCUUGGUUCUUCUGGCUGAUAAUGUUUGCACAGAAGACAGACAAAAGGGGGCUGGAACUGUUAAAAAUAGACUUAUAAUGAAUUCUGUCACUCAUGCUCACAACUGCACAUGAUGUCCUGGGCCAUGGGUGAAUCCUUUGAACUUAAUGCAGAGAAUGUCUUGUGAGUAGAAAUGUGGAGAUGUGCGUAUGCAGUUUUUCAACCUUUUUGUUAAGUGGCACCUUACCUUCAUCAUUCAGUGCAUGUGGUGUCAUAGUUCUGAGUCCUUCCUGGGUUCCCUGGGGCAGACUGGUUUCUUGCCUUUGCCCUCUGAAAUAAAUUAACUACUUCUCCACCUACUUUUGUCUCCCAAACUUCUUCAACUGUCUAAUGGAGAUAAUACUACAUAAUACCUUACAAAGCUGUUGUGUAGAUUAAAUGAAUUUAUAUAUGUAAUAUGCAUAGCACAGCACCUAGCAUGGAGUAAUCAUUCUAUAAAUGGUAGUUAUUAGUAUUAUACAAUUUCUCAAUAUCCCAGACAGUCCUGGUCAUAUUAAUUACCUGGGUAGUGAUGCCAAUAAAAUCUCUACUGCUGUUUUUGUGGAAUUACUAAUUUAUUUGUAUUCAUUUUAGCAAAAUAAAAAAUUGAGAGAAAUGAAAUAAAUUCAUGCUUUAAUCCUGCCAUUACAGUAUCUUGUUAGAAGUUUGUGAUAAAUUAUAACGUCUGAUAGUUAAUCAUUAUUCAAUAUUAUUUUUUAAGAAUAUUUUGACUGUUUUCAUACCUCAGUCCAGAAGAGUUUUACAGUCAUUUUGACUGGUUUUCUCUAAUCUCCUUCACCCUUAAAAUACUCCUAAGAUUUUGAUUACAAUUAUACUUAAGUAAUUUUCAAAUCUGGGGAGAAGUUACAUAUUUAUAAAACUUAUUUUUUCAAUCCAAGAACAAGGUCAGCUUAACAUACACUUUUUCUUCCUCCUCAGUAAAUAUUUGCAUUUUUUUCAUGUAGACCCUACAUACUAAUUUAAUUUCUAUGUAUUUUAUAUGUUCACAUUUUACAUGUUGCUACUAUAAAUGGGACAUUAUUUUUAUUUUUGACUAUUACUUUAUAGAAAAAAAUAUAUUUAUGUAUUUCUUUUUAAAUGUCCAAGUUACUUUUUUGAUUCAAGUAGGUUUUUUGGGUAGGGGAAAAAGUUUCUUUUUCAAAUAAUGAUCAUUUUACCUUCUCUUUCUAAUAUUUAUGACUAGUAUUCUUUUUCUUAACUCAUAGCAUUGCUUAUUACUUCAAAAAUAGUAGACUUCAGAAGUAGUGGUUAUAAAUAUGUUUAUUUUGUCCUUCACUUGAAUAGGAAUGCCUUUAAGGUUGUUAUGUCUGACACUUGUUGACUGCAUAUAAGACAUUCUUUAAACAAGUUUCCCACUGACUUGUGUUUUGCUUUUGCUGCUUUAAGCUAGAAUGUCCCAGGAAGUACACACACACAUUUCUCUCACACAUACAAGUCUCAUAAUACACUCAUAAAAAGAAGGCAGUUAUUUGAGAUUCUAAUAUCUGGGAACUUUGUGGUAGACAAUCAAGCUCUAUCCUCAGAGGAACAAAAAAAUGGACACUUGGAUUUAAAAGUGGCAGGAUCCAGAGGCGAAAAGAAGAGGAAAGGAAACAAAAAAUUCUGUAUCUUUGGAAUUAUGUGGCACAAAUUCCUGGUACCAUGUUCAGGUUCAUUUGCUUUCUACAUGAUUCCAUUUUAUGAUCACACUAGUGUGGAAACUGUACCCCAUGAUUUAAAAAAAUUUACUUGGCAUUAUUUUAUUCUAUUAGUAUGAAUUAAGCUGAACUUGUGAACAGUGAUUGCUGUAUCAUAGAUUCAAAAGUUAUUGAAUAGGUGGGACUGUUUGCUCCCAUACCAAACAGGCCUGACUAUUACUUCUGUUUCAAAUAUUUGUUUUCUACCCCGCAUUUUCCAGCUGUUAUCUUUUCCUGCAACUUUGAGUAUACUUGCUUCCAGUAAACCUCCCCUAUCUACUAAUCUGCUGCUUCUGGUCAUCUCAGACUCAGUUAUGCGAUAAACCUGUUUCAUGUCACUAAAUCUAAAGAAUAAAUAGGGUAUGUUAUAGGAUUUGAGUAUAACACCCAUGAGUAGUUCAGAGUAAUUUUUAUGUACUGAUAAAAUUAUUUUGGCUCACAGCUGGCUAAUAAAAAUUUAUUAUUUUAACUAAUUAAUUAAUUUUGAAUGGGUAAUACAUGCACAUAGUGAAGUAUUUUAAAAAUGUAGACCAGGCAUUGUGGCUGAUGCUUGCAAUCCCAGAACUUUGGGAGAUGGAGGCAGGAGGAUCUCUUGAGGCCAGGAAUGCCAGAUCAGCCUGGGCAACAUAGCAAGACCCUGUCUUGACGAAAUCUUUUUUUUUUUUUUGAUUAGGUGGGUUUGGUAGCACGUGCCUAAUAGCCCCAGCUACUCAGGAAGCUGAGGUGGGAGGAUCACUUGAGCCUAGGAGUUUGGGGUUACAGUGACCUCUGAUGGCACCACUGCAUUCCAGCCUGGGUAGCAGAGUGAGACCCUGUCUUUAAAAAUAAAAAAUCCAAAUGGUUACACAUUGAAAAACGGUUUGUCCCUCAUCACUACCCCAGACACUCACCAGAGAAAACCACUCCUAUCACUUUUCUAUGUAUAUUUCCAGAUUGUAUAUAUUAUAUAUAUAACUAUAUACAUAAAUUUUUCACAAAUGGUAAGAUUUUAUAUACACUUCUGAACUUUGCUUCUUUUUGGUAAGAAUGUAUCUUAAAGGUGAGUGCAUAUGUCUAUUUAAAGCUGCUUUAUUUACAAAUAUUUUCUUGAAAUACACAUACAAGAAAUAUGAGUUGUAAGUGUACAAUAUGAUAAUUUUCCAGUGAGCUUGGUCUGAAACAAUUUUUAAAGAGAAGAAUAUAGUGGGAGUAAUCAAUCUACCCAAUUUCAAGACAUCAUAUAGCUACAGUACUCAAGACUGUGUGGUAUUGUGGGGAUAUAGACAUAGAGAUCAGUUAAACACAAUACAAAACCCCGAAAUAGACCCAUACAAGUAUGUCCACCUGAUUUUUUUUCUUUUUUUUUUAUUGCAUUUUAGGUUUUGGGGUACAUAUGAAGAACAUGCAAGAUUGUUGCAUAGGUCCACACAUGGCAGUGUGAUUUGCUGCCUUCCUCCCCAUCACCUAUAUCUGGCAUUUCUCCCCAUGCUAUCUCUCCCCAACUCCCCACCCACCGCUGUCCCUCCCCUGUUUCCCCGCCAACAGACCCUGGUUUGUGAUGCUCCCCUCCCUGUGUCCAUGUGUUAUCGUUGUUCAACACCAACCUAUGAGUGAGAACAUGCGUUGUUUGAUUUUCUGUUCUUGUGUCAGUUUGCAGAGAAUGAUGGUUUCCAGGUUCAUCCAUGUCCCUACAAAGGACGCAAACUUAUCAUUUUUGAUGGCUGCAUAAUAUUCCAUGGUGUAUAUGUGCCACAUUUUCCCUGUCCAGUCUAUCGUUGAUGGGCAUUUGGGUUGGUUCCAGGUCUUUGCUAUUGUAAACAGUGCUGCAAUGAACAUUUGCGUGCAUUUGUCCUUAUAGUAGAAAGAUUUAUAAUCCUUUGGAUAUAUACCCAUGGGAUUGCUAGGUCAAAUGGAAUUUCUAGGUCCUUGAGGAAUCGCCACACUGUCUUCCACAAUGGUUGAACUACUUUACAUUCCCACCAACAGUGUAAAAGUGUUCCUAUUUCUCUACAUCUUCUCCAGCAUCUGUUGUCUCCAGAUUUUUACACUUGAUCUUAGCCAAAAGGCCGAGAGGCGAUGUCUCCAGAUUUUUUAGUAAUUGCCAUUCUAACUGGCAUGAGAUGGUAUCUCAAUGUAGUUUUGAUUUGCAUUUCUCUGAUGACCAGUGAUGAUGAGCAUUUUUUCAUAUAUUUGUUGGCCUCAUGUAUGUCUUCUUUUGUAAAGCGUCUGUUCGUAUCCUUCACCCACUUUUGAAUGGGCUGGUUUUUUUCUUGUAAAUCUGUUUUAGUUCUUUGUAGAUUCUGGAUAUCAGCCCUUUGUCAGAUGGGUAGACCGAAAAAUUUUUUCCAUUCUGUUGGUUGCCGAUUAACUCUAAUGACUGUUUCUUUUGCCGUACAGAAGCUGUGGGGUUUGAUUAGGUCUCGUUUGUCUAUUUUGGCUUUUGUUGCCAAUGCUUUUGGUGUUUUGGUCAUGAAGUCCUUGCCUACCCCUACAUCCUGAAUGGUUUUGCCUAGAUUUUCUUCUAGAGUUUUUAUGGUGUUAGGUCUUAUGUUUAAGUCUUUAAUCCAUCUGGAGUUAAUUUUACUGUAAGGUAUCAGGAAGGGGUCCAGUUUCUGCUUUCUGCACAUGGCUAGCCAGUUUUCCCAACCCCAAUUAUCAAACAGGGAAUCCUUUCCCCAUUGCUUGUUUUUGUCAGGUUUGUCAAAGAUCAGAUGGUUGUAGAUGUGUUGUGUUGCCUCUGAGGCCUCUGUUCUGCUCCAUUGGUCUAUAUCUCUGUUUUGGUACCAGUACCAUGCUGUUUUGAUUACUGUAGCCUUAUAGUAUAGUUUGAAGUCUGGUAGUGUGAUGCCUCCUGCUUUGUUCUUUUUGCUUAGAAUUGACUUGGCUAUGUAGGCUCUCUUUUGGUUCUAUAUGAAGUUUAAGGUGUUUUUUUUUUUUCCCAUUCUGUGAAGAAGAUCAUCAGUAGCUUGAUGGGGAUAGCGUUGAAUAUGUAAAUUACUUUGGGCCAUAAAAUAGUAUGGCCAUUUUCAUGAUAUUGAUUCUUCCUAACCGUGAACAUGGAAUGUUUCUCCAUCUGUUUGUGUCCUCUCUUAUUUCAUUGAGCAGUGGUUUGUAGUUUAAGGACCUUGAAGAGGUCCUUUACGUGCCUUGUUAGUUGUAUUCCUAGGUAUUUUAUUCUCUUUGUAGCAAUUGUGAAUGGCAGUUCGUUCUUGAUUUGACUCUCUUUAAGUCUGUUAUUGGUAUAGAGGAAUGCUUGUGAUUUUUGCACAUUGAUUUUGUAUCCUGAGACUUUGCUGAAGUUGCUUAUCAGUUUCAGGAGAUUUUGGGCUGAUACGAUGGGGUCUUCUAGAUAUACAAUCAUGUCGUCUGCAAAUAGAGACAAUUUGGCUUCCUCCUUUCCUACCUGAAUACCCUUUAUUUCUUUUUCUUGCCUGAUUGCUCUGGCUGGAACUUCCAAUACUAUAUUGAAUAGGAGUGGUAAGAGAGGGCAUCCUUGUCUAGUGCCAGAUUUCAAAGGGAAUGCUUCCAGUUUUUGCCCAUUCAGUAUGAUAUUGGCUGUUGGUUUGUCAUAAAUAGCUUUUAUUAUUUUGAGAUACGUUCCAUCAAUACUGAGUUUAUUGAGGGUUUUUAGCAAAAAGGGCUGUUGAAUUUUGUCAAAGGCCUUCUCUGCAUCAAUGGAGAUCACCAUGUGGUUUUUGUCUUUGGUUCUGUUUAUGUGGUGAAUUACGUUUAUAGACUUGUGUAUGUUGAACCAGCCUUGCAUCCCUGGGGUGAAUCCUACUUGAUCAUGAUGGAUAAGCUUUUUGAUGUGCUGUUGCAAUCAACUUGCCAGUAUUUUAUAGAAGAUUUUUGCAUCUAUGUUCAUCAUGGAUAUUGGCCUGAAGUUUUCUUUUCUUGUUGAGUCUCUGCCAGGUUUUGGUAUUAGGAUGAUGUUGGUCUCACAAAAUGAUUUGGGAAGGAUUCCCUCUUUUUGAAUUAUUUGGAAUAGUUUCAGAAGGAAUGGUACCAGCUCCUCUUUGUGUGUCUGGUAGAAUUCGGCUGUAAACCCAUGUGGACCUGGGCUUUUUUUGUGUGAUAGGCUCUUAAUUGCUGCCUCGACUUCAGACCUUGUUAUUGGUCUAUUCAUAGUUUUGGCUUCCUCCUGGUUUAGGCUUGGGAGGACACAAGUGUCCAGGAAUUUAUCCAUUUCUUUCAGGUUUACUAGUUUAUGUGCAUAAAGUUGUUUGUAAUAUUCUCUGAUGAUGGUUUGAAUUUCUGUGGAAUCUGUGGUGAUUUCCCCUUUAUCGUUUUUUAUCACAUCUAUUUGGUUAUUCUCUCUUUUUCUUUUUUAUCAAUCUGGCUAGUGGUCUAUUUUGUUGAUCUUUUCAAAUAACCAGCUCUUGGAUUUAUUGAUUUUUUUGAAGGGUUUUUCGUGUCUCUAUCUCCUUCAGUUCUGCUCUGAUCUUAGUUAUUUCUUGUCUUCUGCUAGGUUUUGUGUUUUAUUUGAUCUUGCUCUCUAGCCCUUUCAAUUUUGACAAUAGGGUGUCAAUUUUGGAUCUCUCCACUCUUCUCAUGUGGGCACUUAUUGCUAUAUAUUUUCUUUUAGAGACUGCUUUAAAUGUGUCCCAGAGAUUCUGGUAUGUUGUGUCUUCGUUCUCGUUGGUUUCGAAGCACUUCUUUAUUUCUGCCUUCAUUUCAUUGUUUAUCCAGUCACCAUUCAAGAGCCACUUGUUCAGUUUCCAUGAAGCUGUGUGGUUCUGAGUUAGUUUCUGAAUUCUGAGUUCUAACUUGAUUGCACUAUGGUCUGAGAGACUGUUUGUUAUGAUUUCAGUUGUUUUGCAUUUGCUGAGGAGUGCUUUACUUCCAAUUAUGUGGUCAAUUUUUGAGUAGGUGUGAUGUGGUGCUGAGAAGAAUGUAUAUUCUGUGGAUUUGGGGUGGAGAGUUCUGUAAAUGUCUAUCAGGUUUGCUUGUUCGAGGUCUGAGUUCAAGCCCUGGAUAUCCUUGUUAAUUUUCUAUCUGGUUGAUCUGUCUAAUAUUGACAGUGGAGUGUUAAAGUCUCCCACUAUUAUUGUGUGGGAGUCUAAGUCUCUUUGUAAGUCAUUAAGAACUUGCCUUAUAUAUCUGGGUGCUCCUGUAUUGGGUCCAUAUAUAUUUAGGAUCGUUAGCUCUUCUUGUUGUAUUGAUCCUUUUACCAUUAUGUAAUGUCCUUCUUUGUCUCUUUUGAUCUUUGUUGCUUUAAAGUCUAUUUUAUCAGAGAUGAGAAUUGCAACUCCUGCUUUUUUUUUUUUUUUUUUUUCUCUCCAGUUGCUUGGUAAAUCUUCUUCCAUCCCUUUAUUUUGAGCCUUUGUGUAUCCUUGCAUGUGAGAUGGGUUUCCUGGAUACAGCACACCGAUGGAUUUUGGCUUUUUAUCCAAUUUGCCAGCCUGUGUCUUUUGAUUGGUGCAUUUAGCCCAUUUACAUUUAGGGUUAAUAUUGUUAUGUGUGAAUUUGAUACUGCCAUUUUGAUGCUAGCUUGGUGUUUUGCCCGUUAGUUGAUGCAGGUUCUUCAUUUUGUUGAUGCUCUUUAGCAUGUGGUAUGUUUUUGGAAUGGCUGGUACUGGUUGUUCCUUUCUAUGUAUAGUGCCUCUUUCAGGAGCUCUUGUAAAGCAGGCCUGGUGGUGACAAAAUCUCUGAGUGCUUGCUUGUUUGCAAAGGAUUUUAUUUUUCCUUCACUUAUGAAGCUCAGUUUGGCUGGAUAUGAAAUUCUGGGUUGAACCUGACCUUUCUCUCUGGCUGCCCUUAGCAUUUUCUCCUUUAUUUCAACCCUGGUGAAUCUGACGAUUAUGUUCCUUGGGGUUGCUCUUUUUGUGGAAUAUCUUUGUGGUGUUCUCUGUAUUUCCUGGACUUGAAUAUUGGCCUGCCUUGCUAGGUUGGGGAAAUUUUCCUGGAUAAUAUCCUGAAGGUAUUUUCCAGCUUGGAUUCAUUCUCUUCAUCACAUUCAGGUACACCUAUCAAAUGUAGAUUAGGUCUCUUCACAUAGUCCCACAUUUCCUGGAGACUUUGUUCAUUCCUUUUUGCACUUUUUUUCUCUAAUCUUGGCUUCUUGUUUUAUUUCAUUGAGUUGAUCUUCAACUUCUGAUAUCCUUUUUUCUGCUUGGUCGAUUUGGCUGUUGAAACUUGUGCAAGCUUCGCAAAGUUCUCAUGUUGUGUUUUUCAGCUCCUUCAAUUCACUCAUAUUCCUUUCUAAGUUGUCCAUUCUUGUUAUCAUUUCCUCAAAUCUUUUUUCAAGGUUCUUAGUUUCUUUGCAUUGAGUUAGAACGUGUUCUUCUAGCUCACGGAAGUUUCUCAUUACCCACCUUCUGAAGUCUGAUUCUGUCAUUUCAUCACACUCAUUCUCCGUCCAGCUUUGUUCCCUUACUGAUGAGGAGUUUUGGUCCUUUGUAGGAGGCGAGGUGUUCUGAUUUUGGGUGUUUUCCUCCUUUUUGCACUGGUUUCUUCCCAUCUUUGUGGAUUUAUCCACCUGUCUUCUGAGUGGUUGCUGAUUUUCUGAUUGGGUCUCUGAGUGGACGUCCAGAUUGUUGAUGAUGAAGUAUUUCUGUUUCUUAGUUUUCCUUCUAACAGUCUGGCCCCACUGCUGUAGGACUGCUGCGGUCCACUCUAGGCCCUGCUUGCCUGGGGAACUCCUAUAGCAGCUGUGGAACCGUGAGGGUUGCUACCAGAUUCUUCUUCUGCUAUCUUUCUCCCUGAAUGAUGCCUGCUGAAUGUCGGUCUGAUCAGUCCUUUGUGAGGUGACUCUUUGGAUAUACGGGGGUCAGGGAGCUCUUUGAGGAGACAGUCUGUACUUUAUAGGAGCUCUAGUGCUGAGCUGUGAGCUCUGAUGUUCAUUCAGGGCUAUUAGGCAGGUACGUUUAAGUCUGCUGCAGCAGAACUCAUAAAGCCCCCUUUUUUUUCCCUCAGGUGCUCUGUCCCGGGGAGUUAGGGCUUUAUUUAUGAGUAUCUGUUGCACUUUCCUGCCCAGCAAGGAGGCAGUCUAGUCACUGCCUGUCUGUAGUGGCUAUCAUGAGCUGCUGUGGGCUCCACCCUGUUGCCAUGGGCUCCACCCUGUUGCUGUGGGCUCUGCUCCACUGCCAUGGGCUCCACCCUGCUGCAGUGUGUAAUUCCCUGUAGUCCUGUUUAUAUGGGUGUGGUUAGAACUGCAGUGGCGAUGGUGGCCCACCUCUGUAGUGGCGGACUCUCUCUGUUAUGGUGGGUUGCCUCGGCAAUGGCAGGCUGCGUCAGCAAUGGCAGAGUACCUCCGUAGGGGUCGCGUGCCUUGGUAGUGGCGGACGCCCCUCCCCCACCGAGCUGUUCUGUCCUGGGUUCAGCUGUGCUUGCCGUGAAACUCUCAACCCCCAAGCGUUUCCAAUUGCUGUUUUGUUUGUUUUUGUGGGGGGUGGGACCCGCCGAGCCUGAUCACCUGGCUCCCUGCCUCAGAGCCUUUUUUUUUUUUUUUAAGUUGAAUGGUUGACUCUCUCCCAGGUGUUCCAGUUGCCUGCUGCAAGGGUGCCAGGAUCUGUGUGAUUUCCCAUGCAGCGACUCACUGCGCCAGCUCAAACCACGUUGCUGCCCGAGAAUCUCCUGGCCUGGCUUUCUGUUUAAGUCCCGUUUAAUCAGAUGAAUGUGCUAAUCUGCCUUCCGAAAUCUCCAAUUGCCAGUUUAACAGGGCAACCAAACCAGUGUAUUUUGUACAGAGUGUCGCUGCGCUGCAGUCUCGGCCCAAACAGCUGUGCCGGCCCAAACAGCCGCGCCGGCCCAAACUGCUGCGCUGGUGGCCCGUGGGGCUCUUACACCUGGGAAUCUCCUGGUCUGUGGGCAAUAAAGAUCCAUAUGGAAAUGUGGCGUCCACUCACCCUCUGCAGAUUCACUGGGAGCUGCAAUCCUGAGUUGGUCCUACAGCUCCAUCUUCCCCCCAAAGUUUGGCUUCAUUCUUUUUUAAGGCUCAAUAAUACUUUAUUGUGUAUGAACAUACAACAUUUUAUUUACCUAUUCAUCAGUUAAUCGACAUUUGAGUUGUUUCCACCUACUGGCAAUUAUGAAUAAUGCUGUAAUAAACAUUCACAGACCAAUUUUUUUUUGUUUUUUUUUUUUUGAGAUGGAGUUUCGCUCGUUACCCAGGCUGGAGUACAAUCAUGCAAUCUUGGCUCACUGCAACCUCCCCUUCCUGGGUUCAGGCAAUUCUCCUGCCUCAGCCUCCUGAGUAGCUGGGAUUACAGGCACGCGCCACCACGCCCAGCUAAUUUUCUUUUUUUUUUUGGUUGAGACAGGGUUUCACCAUAUUGACCAGGAUGGUCUCGAUCUCUUGACCUUGUGAUUCACCCACCUUGGCCUCCCAAAGUGCUGGGAUUACAGGCUUGAGCCACCGCAUCCAGCCCACAGACCAAUUUUUGGGUGAACAUGUUGUAUAUAUCUAGAGUGAAUUGCUAGGUCAUAUGGUAACUCUAUGUUUAAUCAGUUGAGGAACUGCCAAACAGCAUUCCACAAUGGCUGUACCCUUUUAUAUUGCCACCAGCAGUGUGUUAGGUUUACUAUUUCUCCACAUUCUUGUUAACUCCAGUGAUUACCUGAUUUUUAAAUUCUAGCUAUCCUUGUGGUUGUGAAGAGGUAUUUCAUAGUGGUUUUGAUUUGCAUUUAUCCAGUGACUAAUGAUAUUGAACAUAUUUCCAUGUGCUUAUUGGCUAUUUGUAUAUCUUCUGUGCAGAAAUAUCUAUUCAGAUAAUUUGCCCAUUUUUAAAUUGGGUUGUCUUUUUAUUAUUGAGUUGUAAGAGUUAUUUAUAUUCUGGAUACAAGUCUCUUUAUAUAAUGUCUCCGUUGUCUUUUUUUUUUAUUGAUGGUAUCCUUUGAAGUACAGAAGUUUUUUUUCUUUGUUUUUUUGUUUUGUUUUUGAGACAGAGACUCACUUUGCCACCCAGGCUGGAGUGCAGUGGCACAAUGAUAGCUCACUUCAGCCUUGACCUCCCCAGGCUCAGGUUAUCAUCUCACCUCAGCUUCCUGAGUAGGUGGGAAUACAAGUAUGCACCACCAUGCCUGGCUAUUUUUUGUAGAGACAAGGUUUCACCAUGUUGCCCAGGCUGGUCUUGAAUCCUACACUCAAGCAAUCUGCCUGCGUUGGCCUCCCAAAGUUUUGGGAUUAGAGGCAUGAGCCACUGUGCCUGGCUAGCACAGAAGUUUUAAAUCUUGAUGAAGUGCAAUUUAUUUAUUCUUUGGUUGCUUGUGCUUUUCGUGUCCUAUCUAAAAAUUAUUUCCCAAAUUCAAUGUCAUGAAGAUGUUUCUAUGUUUUCUCAAAGAGUUUUAUUUUAUAGUUUUCACCCCUUAGAUUUAGGUCCUUGAUCCAUUUUGAGAUAAUUUUUGUAUAUGGUGUGAGCUAAGGUCCAGCUUCAUUCAUUUGCAUGUGGCUGUCCAGCUUUCCCAGCAUCAUUUGUUGAAAAGACUAUUCUUUCCCAUUGGAUGGUCUUGGCAUCCUUGCUAAAAAUGAGUUGAUCAUGGAUGUAUGGAUUUAUAUCUAGACCCUCAGUUGUAUUACAUUGAUAUAUAUGUCUGUUCUUGUGUCAGUACCACUGUUUUGGUUGCCAUUGCUUUGUAGUUAAGUUUUAAAACUGGUGAGUCCUCCAACUUUAUAUUUUACAUUGUCUUGGCCAUUCUGGGUCCCCUUCAGUUCCAUAUAAAUUUUAGAACCAGUUUGUCAAUAUCUAUGAAGAAGUUAUUCUGAUAGGGAUUUGGAUAGGGAUGACACUGAAUUUCUAGAUCAUUGUGCAGAAUAUUGUCAUAUAAUGAUGUUAAAUCCUCUGACACAUGAACAUAAGAUGUUUUUCCAGUUAUUUAGAUCUUUAAUUUCUUUCAACAAUGUUUUGUAGUUUUUCAGAGUAUAAAUUUAGCGUUUUUCUUAAAUUUAUUUUGAUGGUAUUAAAAAUGGAAUUGUUUUCUUAAUUUCACUUCUGGAUUAUUCAUUGUGACUGUAUGGAAAUACAUCUGAUUUUCAUAUAUUAGUCUUUUCUUUUUCCUUUGGACACAGCGUCUCACUCUGUUGCCCAGGCUGGAGUAGAGUGGCACAAUAUUGGGCCAUUGCAACCUCAGCCUCCAGGGUUCAAGCAAUUCUCCUGCCUCAGCCUCCCGAGUAGCUGGGUUACAGGGACAUGCCACCGCACCUGCCUAAUUUUUGUAUUUUUAGUAGAGAUGGGAUUUCACCAUGAGUUAAAGGCUGGUCUUGAACUCCUGACCUCAAGUGAUCCACCUGCCUCAGCCUCCCAAAGUGCUGCUAUUACAGGCGUGAGUCACUACACCCUGCCAAUUUUCAUAAAUUAGUCUUAUAUCCUGCAGCCUUGUGAAGCUUGUUUUUAGGUCUUAUAUGAAUAGUUUUACUUUUAAAUAUGGUUUCCUUUCAUAUCUUUUCUUUUUUUUUUUUUUGAGAUGGAGUCUCAUUCUUUUUGCCCAGGCUGGAGAGCAAUGGUAUGAUCUCGGCUCACUGCAACCUCAGCCUCCCAGGUUCAAGGGAUUCUCUUGUUUCAGCCUCACAAGUAGCUGGGAUUACAGGCACCCACCACCACACCUGGCUAAUUCUUUUUGUAUUUUUAGUAGAGACAGGUUUUCACCAUUUUGGCCGGGUUGCUCUCCAACUCCUGACCUCAGGUGAUCCACCCACUUUGGCCUCCCAAAGUGCUGGGAUUUCAGGCAUGAACCACUGUACCCCACUGCCUUUUAUAUCUUCUUAGUGCCUAAUUGCCCUUUCUAGAACCUCCAAUUCAUUGUUGAAUAGAAGCAUCAGGACAUAUUUGCCUUGUUCCUGAUCCUGGGGGAAAGCAUUUAAUUAUUAAAUAUGAUGGUACCUGUGGGUUUUUCAUAGAUGUCCUUUAUCAGGUUGAGGAAGUUUCCUUCUCUUCCUAGUUUAUUGACUGUUUUGAUCAUGAAAUGGUGUUGGAGUUUGCCAAAUACUUUAUCCACAUCUAUUAAGAUGAUCAUGUGAUUUUAAUUUUUAAUUGAUAGAAUGUAUUACAUUAAUUGAUUUCUGGAUGCUAAACCAGCAUUGCAUUCCUGGGAAAAUUCUCACUUGGUCAUGGCUUAUAAUGUUUUGUAUGUUUUGCUGGAUUUGGUUUUGUAGUAUUUUGCUGAGGAUUUUCAUGCCUAUGUUUAGAAGAGAUAUUGGUUUGUAAUUUUCUUUUUUUUGUGGUAUCGUUUUCUAGUUUUGUCAUUACUGUAAUAUUUACUUUAUUUUAUACAUAAAUUAAUAAAUUGCAUAUAUUUAUGGUGUACAGUAUGAUGUUUUGAAAUACAAUGACUUCGUUAAAAUGAAGUCAGUAUUACAUUACUUCCAAAACCAGAAAAGGAUAUCACAAGAAAAGAAAAUUGGGAAAUAUUUCUGCUCUUCUGCUUUUUGGAAAAGCUUGUGAAGAAUUUGUAUUAAUUUUUUGUUACAUGUUUGGUAGAAUUCAUUAGUGAAGCCACCUGGGCCUCAGCUUUUCUUCAUAGGUAAGUUUUUGAUUACUGAUAGAAUCUCUACUUGUGAUAGCUCUAUGAAAGUUUCUAUUUCUUCUUGAGUCAGUUUUUGUAGUUUGUGUCUUUCCAGGAAUUUGUCCAUCUUGUCUAAGUUUUCUAAUUGUUGGUGUAUAGUUGUUCAUUGUAUAUUUUAUAAUCUUUUUUUGUUUCUGCAAGGUUGGUAGAAAUGAAUCCUCUUUCAUGUCUGAUCUAGUAAUUUCAGUCUUCUUUUCUUCUUGGUCAAUGUCAGAUAAAGUUUUGUCUAUUUGUUGAUUUUUUUAAAGAGACAGCUUUUGAUAUCAUUGAUUUUCUCUGUUACUUUCCUAUUCUCUAUUUUAUUAAAUUUUGCUGUAUUCUCUACUAUCCCCUUCCUCCUGUUUGCUUUGGGUUUAGUUUUCUGUUCGCCCACCUCCUGUAGGGUUAUUGGAAUGUUAGGUUAUUGAUUGGAGACCUUCUGUCUUUUAUUCUUGUGUUUAUUUAUUAUUAAGACAGGGUCUCUCUCUGUCGCCCCGGCUAGAGUGCAGUGGUGCAAUCUCGGCUCAGUACAACCUCAACCUCUUGGGCUCAAAUGACCCUCCCACCUCAGCCUCCUGAAUAGCUGGGACUACAGGCAUGCACCAUCAUGCCUGACUAAUUUUUGUGGUUUUUUUUUUGGUAGAGACAGAGUUUUACUAUCUUGCCCAAAGUGGUUUCAAACUCCUGAGCUCAAGCAAUCCAUCUACCUUGACCUCCCAAAGUGCUGGGAUUACAGGCAUAAGCCACCACACCCAGCCUCAAGAUCUUUUGUCUUUUAAAAAAGUUAUUUAUUUUUAAAUUGACAAAGAUUGCAUAUAUUUAUGGUGUACAAUAUGACAUUUGAAAUACAUAUGUUGUAGAAAGGCUAAAUGAAGCUGAUAUGUAUAUUCACAUACUUUUGUCAUGCUUAAUAUAGGCAUGCUUAAUAUAGUUAUAAAUUUUUCUCUAAGUGCUGCUUUAGCUACAUCUCAUCAGUUUUGUUAUGUCUUUAUUUUCAUUCAUCUCAGAAUAUUUUUAUUCUUCUUUUGCUUUCUUCUUUGAGCCAUUUGUUAUUUAGAAGUAUGUUAUUUAAUUUUCACAUAUUUGUGAGAUUCCCAAACUCUUUCCCAGUAUUGAUUUCUAAGUUCAUUCCCUUUUGGUCAAAGAAUCUAUUCUGUAUGAUUUUAUUUUUUAAAAUUUGUUAUUUUGUGGUCUAGCAUUUGAUCUAUCCUGGAGAACGUUCCAUGUGCAUUCGAGGACAAUGUAUAUUGUGUUGCUGGGUGGAGUGUUCUAUAGAUGUCUAUUAGUUUUAGUUAGUUUAUUGUGUUGUUUGUUUUCUGUUUCCUAGCUGAGCUGCUAUCUAUAUUGAGAAUAAGUUCUUAAAGUCUUCAACUAUGAUUGUUGAAUUAUUUGUUUCUCCCUUACUUCCUGUCAGUCCUUGUGUCAUGUAUUUUAGUGCUCUAAGUGCAAAUCAGUGUAUCUUCUGAUGAGUUAAUUGUUUCAUUAUUACAAAAUGACUCUCAGCUAGGUCUGGUGGCUCACACCUGUAAUUCCAUCAUUUUGGGAGGCCAAGGUGGGCAGACUGCUUGAGCUCAGGAAUUUGAGACCAGCCUGGACAACAUGGUGAAACCCCAUAUCUACCAAAAAAUAUUCAAAAAUUAGCUGGGCAUGGUGAUAUGCACUUGUAGUCUCAGUGACUUUGGAGACUGAGGUGGGAGGAUUGAGACUUGAGCCCAGGAGGCACAGGUUGCAGUAAGCCAAGAUUGUGUCACUGCCCUGCAGCAGAGAGACCCUGUUUCAAAAUGAAUAAAAUAAAAUGAAUAAAAUAAAAUAAAAAUUCUCUUCAUUUCUAGUAACUUUUUUGGUUUUAAAGCCUAUUUUAUCUCACAUUAGUAUUGUCACUCCAGCUUUCUUAUGGUUACUGUUUGCAUGAUGUUGCCUUUUUCCGUUCUUUUAGUCUAUUUGUGUCUUUGAAUCUAAGUGAGCAUCCUCUGGACAGCUUGCAGUUGCAAGUGGGAACAAUGUUAAACUUCUCUUUUGGGGAGCUCUGGAAGCUGACUGCUUGGCAGAGGAUUGAGAGCAGCAGUCUGAGGUCCUCUUGCCUUUCCUUUCCUGGUAAGGCAUGGAACCAUCAUUUUUCCAGGUUGGGCAAGGGUCCUAAGGCCCUCAGUAUUCUCUAUGUGCUGAGUUGAAGGUAGAGCCUCUGUCCCAGUGGAAGAGGAGAGCCCCUACUUCUCAAAUGCAUUAGCCUAAUGCUUAGCUUCAGCAAUAGGUAGCUGAAAACAGGAUGAGAAACAAUGAUGUUUUGCUCUUUACAGGAAGAGGCCCUCCAUGUGGAAGUUGAGGAAGGGCGAUAAUGCAGAGAGGGGGCCUGUGUUCUUGAUAUGUAUCAGUCUAGAGUGAACCCUGUCUUGCUGAGCUGGGAAGUGGGUGGGAAGAAGUGCUCUUGGUUUACAUACUACAGACUCUUCUUUCUUACAGAAUUUUCAGACUUUCUUUGAUAUAUGUUUCUUCAUUUUCUGUUUCCUGUUAGGACUAUUUCCAUAGGCUUUAAAUGAUUUUUAAAAAUAUUUUUUAUCAGUUUCACAUGGGAGCAGGCCAGUGGAACUCCUCAUACUGUCAAGCCAGAAGUACUACAGUCCUACUUUCUUUCCUUCUUUCUUUCUUUCUUUCUUUCUUUCUUUCUUUCUUUCUUUCUUUCUUUCUUUCUUUCUUUUCUUUCUUUCUUUCUUUUUCUUUCUUUCUUUUUCUUUCUUUCUUCUUUUGUUCCUUCAUUCUUUCUUUCUCUUCCUUCCUUCCUCUCUUUCUCUCUUUCUUUCUUUCUCCCCUCCCCUAAAUUUUUUGUAUAUAUAUAUUUUUUUUGAGACAGAGUUUCACUCUUGUUACCCAGGCUGGAGUGCAAUGGCGCAAUCUCGGCUCACCACAACCUCUGCCUCCUGGGUUCAGGCAAUUCUCCUGCCUCAGCCUCCUGAGUAGCUGGAAUUACAGGCACCUGCCACCAUGCCCAGCUAAUUUUUUGUAUUUUUAGUAGAGACAGGGUUUCACCAUGUUGACCAGGCUGGUCACCAACUUCUGGCCUCAGGUGAUCUGCCUAUCUUGGCUUCCCAAAGUGCGGACCAUGCCUGGCCAGUACUAUUAGUUAUUAUAACUACAUGUGAAUCUAAAAUUAUUACAAAAGGAAAUUUAAGAAAAAGAAAGGAAUCAGAACAUAAAUAUACAGCAUGGCAAAACUACAUCUUAAACAAGUAGGAUAGGUCUCAUGGUGGAAAAAGUAGACCCACAAGAAAAGUUGUUAUCAUUGAUAUUCUGAACCACGGAUAUCUGCAAAGUGAUUGCUAGCUAUGUACAAUGAAGGAUAUUGGUGUUAUUCUGUGUAUCUACACUACAAAUGCUGUCAAAUCACAUAAUAAAAAGUUAAAAAGGAAAUUGAUGAGUCCAUAUUUAAUAAAUUUUAAAAAGGGAAAAGGUAAGCCUUUCUUACAGAAAAAUGCCAAUUGAAAUCAUUGAGAAAACAGUAGUAUUGGACAGUUACCACUUGAAGCCAUCAUAGUAAAAACUGAUACAGGCAAAAAUCAUCAGAGGAUGAUAUAUCUAAGGGAAAAGUUUCAUAAGGAACAUGAUGUUUGUGUGGCCUGAAAGUAUAUCCUUACAGAUUACUUACUAGUUGUAAGGGGAAAAAUAGUAAUUACAUAGUGGUCAUACUAGAUGACACCUUAACCAGUUGGCUAAAAUUAAUAUCCUCAGUGAGGGGCAGAUAGCCAUCAUGUGCCUCAACAUGUAAUAAUAAAAAAACAAUUUAAUGUCACUGAUAGUAUUUUUUCUGGUCUAACCUGUAUCUAAUCAUGAGGGAACAUCUGACAAAGCAAAAUUAAGGAACAUAUUAUAAAAAAAGUGGCCUUGGUUCUUCAAAAACAUCAAUAUCAUAAAGACAGUGGCUGAAAAAUUAUUCUAAAUUAAAGAAUAAAAAGAUAUAACAUCUGAAUGCAUUAUGUGAUCCUAGACUAGACAUUGAAUUUGGACAACUGACAAAAUGUGAUAAGGACUAUAGAUUUUUAAAAAGUAUUUUAUCAAAGUUAACUUCCAGAUUUUGGUAAUAGUACUGUUUAUGUCAAAGAAAAUCCUGGUUCUUAGGAAACAUAUACUGAAAUAUUAAGGGAUAAGGAGGCAUGAUACAUGAAACCUACUUGCCAAUGAUUCAGAAAAAGUAAUAUGUAAACAUAUGUCUCUGUAUAUGUACACAGACAGAAAUUAUGGUAAACAAAUAUUAUUCUUGCAACUUUUCUACAGUUGUGAAAUCAUACCGAGAUGUCUUGCUUCUUAUUAGUAUUUUUCACUCUCCUUUAGCUUGUAGGAAGUAACAAGUGUUAGUCAUACGUGUCUUAAAUUCCUCCUCAGUUGCUCUUCAGUAAAUCAGUUUUGACAAUGAUUUUAACAGGUAGAUUAUUGUAAAAGAGUUCAGACGAUAUAACCUUCUAAUAAGACUGUUACAAUUAUGCCUACGUACUGCACUACAGACCAAUUCCUUUAAUGAAUACAAUUUGGUUCUAAUAUUUUUGGUUGUCUAUGGUGUUUUCAAACCCCUUGUUAACUACCACAAGUUAAACUAUCAGUUUUGUUCAGUAGUCUGACAUGGAAUAAUACUAUUAAUAUGAUCCAAAUAUAGUGAACUGUGAUCCUCCAAAUCUUUCUAGAAAGAGAAUAGGAUAUGUAGCAAACUACUCAACAAUGUUUAGUGCUAACACCAAAAACAACUGUCAUCAGUUUACUCAUAAGGUAAAUACAUUUUGCUUGAAAGGGAAAAUGUCCAUAUUCUAAAUGAAUUAUGAUAGCUUGCUCUAAAUGAGUCAAGCAGUUUGUACUUAUGAACCAAUGACAGAAAGGUGCCACCCUCUCUUUUGUCCUAUGUUCCAACAGGCUUUUUUUUCUUAUGCUCUAGUCCUUUAUACUUUUUCAGAAUCAAAUGCUCUUUAUUUUGCUCCCAUAACUUCCAGGCAAUGCCUAUGACACCAGGUUACUAAGAGCCGUUUUCUUCCCUGAAGAAUAUUCUCUUUUAAAAUGCCUACAAAUCUAUUUCCUACUUUAUCAGAAAUUGUUAAUGAGAAUAUUCCAGUUCUACAUCUUAAAACCUGAGCAUUUAAUCCAAACCAAAUAUGGUUCUUAAUAAUAGAAUUACAUUGGAAGUAUCUGUGCUUUAUUAAACCAUAGUAAAAUUUGGUGCUGUAUAUACAUGAACUCUUCUGUCCAUGUUGAAUGCAACUUAAAUAAAUUAGAGGCUCAUGCUAGUCAGGAUGGAAACAUCAACCCUGAAACUUUCCCUUUUUUGAAAUUUAUGAGUAUCAGAUAAUGUCUCUUUUUUUUUUGAGACGGAGUUUACCCAGGCUGGAGUGCAAUGGCGCGAUCUCGGCUCACCGCAACCUCCGCCUCCUGGGUUCAGGCAAUUCUCCUGCCUCAGCCUCCUGAGUAGCUGGGAUUACAGGCACGUGCCACCAUGCCCAGCUAAUUUUUUGCAUUUUUAGUAGGAACGGGGUUUCACUAUGUUGACCAGGAUGGCCUCGAUCUUUUGACCUCAUGAUCCACCUGCCUCGGCCUCCCAAAGUGCUGGGAUUACAGGCGUGAGCCACCGCGCCCAGCCCCCAAGAUAAUGUUUCUAAUCAGGGGUUCCAAACAUUGAUGCAUUUAAUUUGCCUCUUGGUGUCAUACCCUUGGCCAAGAACACAGUCUCUAGAGUCUUAAAUGUUGUUAGCAGCCAAUGUUCUGACAGAUGGUUCUUUAUUACCAUUCAAUACAAACAGCAAGAAAGUCAAUGGAGAUUUAAUGAAAAAUUUUAGUUUUGAAAACAAAACUAGACUUACAUGAAACAUUAUGAUGAUGAGUUGAAGGAAGACUAUCAACAAAAUGUCACUGAUAUAGAUCUAGAAAUCUAUGAUGUCAUUUGGGAGAAAGUCUAAAAGUAUUAAAUUUAGGAGGGUUGUCAACCCAAUGAUGGGCCCUCUUCAAGAUCUUGACUUAUAGCAAAAUAAUGGAUUCACCACAGCUCAAGUAAAACAAAACAAAAAAAAUUCCUCAAUCACAGAAAGUUUAAAAGUCUCCAUUUUGAACCUUGAACCAGUCAGCAAACAACCAUGCUUCUUCCAGUUCUAACUGGUUCCCUCACUUCCCAAGAUUGGCUUAAAUUCACCCAACCCAAUCCCUUCUUAACUUUCUAAGAUUAGGAGAUUCCUAAAUUUUGCCUCUGGUGUUUUUUUUUUGUUUGUUUGUUUUUUCCUCUUUUGCUACAUCAAGCUAAAUAAACCUGGCUUUUGGGAACUACAGGGAUGUCUCUGAUUUUCUCUUAGUGGGUUUCAAAGGAUUUUCUUUUUUUGAAACAGGAUCUCACUUUGUUACCCAGGUUGGAGUGCAGUGGUGAGAUCAAGGUUCACUGAAGCCUUGACCUCUUGGGCUCAAUUGGUCCUCCCACUCCAGCCUCCUGAGCAAUUGGGACCACAAUCAUGUACCACCACGCCUGGUUAAUUUUAAAUUUUUUUGCAGAGGCAGGGUCUCACUAAGUUACCUAGGCUGGUCUUGAACCCUUAGGCUCAAGCAAUCCUCCAGUCUCCCAAAGUGCUAGGAUUAUAGGUGUGAACCACCACCCCAGCCAGGAUUUUCUUAUAAACACAUAGUCCAGACACCCAGAAAAGAAUAAAUUACUAUUCCUGUUUAAGUAGGUUUCCUCUUUCGGAGAUGCUUUUCUUGAUGGCUUGACAUGUGAUAUGGUUUGGAUUUGUGUCACCACCCAAAUCUCAGGUCGAAUUAUAAUCCCCAAUGUUGGGAGAGGGGCCAGUGGGAGGUGAUUGGAUCUGGGGGUGGACUUUCCCCUUGCUGUUCUCUGAUAGUGAGUUCCCAUAUCUGGUUAUUUAAAAGUGUGUAGCACCUGCCGGCUUUCCUUUCUUUCUCCUUCUCUGGCUAUGUGAAGAUGUUCCUCUUUCCUCUUCACCUUUUGCCAUGAUUUAAGUUUCCCAAGACCUCCCCAACCAUGCUUCCUGUACAGUCUGUGGAACUGUGAGCUAAUUAAACCUCUUUCCUUUAUAAGAACUACCAGUUUCAGGUGGUUCUUAUAGCAAUGCAAGAAUGAAUACAACAUGAUUCUAAUUAUCCUAUAUAUUUCUUGAAUUUUUGAAAAAUAUGCUUUGAGAAACAUUAGGUAAACAUUUUCAGUGGAGAUAAAACAAUAUAAUGUUAUCUUGAGAGAGUACAGACCAAAAUUUAAAUAUUACAUUCCCAAAUUAUUAGACAUUUAGAUAUUUUCCACUUUUUGCUGUUGUAAACAAACCUGUGAUGUAUCUUCAGAAUAAUCCCUGCAACUACAGUUACUGAGUUGUAUGGUAUGAGACGUUUUUGAGUCUAGCCACAUCUUUUUGUUUGUUUUCCAAGAAUUUUACUGGCUGGUCGCAGUGGCUCACGCCUGUAAUCCCAGCACUUUGGGAGACUGAAGCGGGUGGAUCACCAGGUCAAGAGAUGGAGACCAUCCUUGCCAACAUGGUGAAAUCCCAUCUCUACUAAAAAAUACAAAAAUUAGCUGGGUGUGGUGGUGCAUGCCUGUAGUCCCAGCUACUCGAGAGGCUGAGGCAGGAGGAUUGCUUGAAUCUGGGAGGCGGAGGUUGCAGUGAGAUGAGAUCACACCACUGUAUUCCAGCCUGACGUCUGGCCGCAGAGCAAGACUCUGUCUCAAAAAAAAAAAAAAAAAAGGAUUUUACCAAUUAACACCUACCUCAGCCAAUUAAAUAUUAGAGCAAACUCUCAACAGCUCACUAGGAAAAUCUUUUAAAUACAAGUUGUGCCUACAGAUUAACAUUUUAAAAAUAUUUAAUUUGCAUACAGCAUUUGAAGAACUACCCAUGCAGAUCUCUUAUUCUCAACUGGCCUCCUCACGUCUCAAGCUUACUAGGUAGAAAGUAAAGUCACAAAGCACUUGGUAGAAAUGCAGGAAAUAUCAAAUAUUAAACAAUAAUUACUACAGGCUUAGGCAAUGAGAUGGUAGUUUUGCAUACAAACAAAAACAGGAAUCUAAGAUGUUAAUUUUUUUUAAUUUUUUUUGAUACAGCGUCUCUGUCACCGAGGCUGCAGUGCAGUGACAUGAAUUAGGCUCUCUGCAGCCUGGAUUUCAACCUCCCGGCCUCAAGCAAUCAUCCUACCUAAACCUCCUAAGCAGCUAGGACUACAGGCUAGGACCACUGCGCCCAGCUAAUUUUUGUAUUUUUUGUAGAGACGGGGUUCCCCUGUGUUGCUCAGGCUGGUGUCCAACUCCUGGGCUUAAGUGAACAGGCCGCCGAGGCCUCCCAGGGUACGCGAACCUGCCUCACCUAAAAUAAUGUUCUCACUUAAUUCUUUUCAUAAACUUUAUUGACAAUGACUGGUGUGCGUGUGUCUGUGUGUGUUUUGGUAAGGUAUUAUCUGAGAAAAGAUUAAAUGCAUAGUUGAAUAGGAAAGAUCUAUUUUAUAGACUGUGAACACACAAAAGGUUAAAAGGUUAACCUUGCAGCCCUCUAUAAAAUAGAUCUCUCCUAUUCUCUCAGUGUAUCUGAGAAUACUGAAAAAGCACAUUUCAAUAUCACUGCUAGGGUUUAGUGAUAAGGUUAGGUAGAUUCUCAGUUCCCUUUCCUAUUUGGCCCUGGACUUCCCAUCAUCCCUGUUUUCU